rnacentral:rRNA from 1 species
UACGAAGGGUGCAAGCGUUAAUCGGAAUUACUGGGCGUAAAGCGUGCGUAGGCGGUUGUUUAAGUCUGCUGUGAAAUCCCCGGGCUCAACCUGGGAAUGGCAGUGGAUACUGGACAGCUAGAGUGUGUCAGAGGAUGGUGGAAUUCCCGGUGUAGCGGUGAAAUGCGUAGAGAUCGGGAGGAACAUCAGUGGCGAAGGCGGCCAUCUGGGACAACACUGACGCUGAGGCACGAAAGCGUGGGGAGCGAACAGG